rnacentral:misc_RNA from 1 species
GAUGAAGAACGUAGCAAAAUGCGAUAAGUAGUGUGAAUUGCAGAAUUCAGUCAAUCAUCGAAUCUUUGAACGCACAUUGCGCCCGCCAGCAUUCUGGCGGGCAUGCCUGUUCGAGCGUCAUUUCAACCCUCGACCUCCCUUUGGGGAAGUCGGCGUUGGGGACCGGCAGCACACCGCCGGCCCUGAAAUGGAGUGGCGGCCCGUCCGCGGCGACCUCUGCGUAGUAAUCCAACUCGCACCGGAACCCCGACGCGGCCACGCCGUAAAACACCCAACUUCUGAACGUUGACCUCGAAUCAGGUAGGACUACCCGCUGAACUUAAGCAUAUCAAUAAGCGGAGGA